rnacentral:misc_RNA from 1 species
GAUGAAGAACGCAGCGAAAUGCGAUAAGUAAUGUGAAUUGCAGAAUUCAGUGAAUCAUCGAAUCUUUGAACGCAUCUUGCGCUCCUUGGUAUUCCUUGGAGCAUGCCUGUUUGAGUAUCAUGAGCAAAUCUCAAAGUCAAUUCCUUUUGUUGAUUCAAUUGGUUUUGCUUUGGACUUGGAGGCCUUGCAGAUUUCACAGUCUGCUCCUCUUAAAUGCAUUAGCUGGAUCUCAGUAAUUAUGCUUGGUUCCACUCGGCGUGAUAAGUAUCACUCGCUGAGGACACUGUUAAAAAGGUGGCCAGGAAAAUACUGAUUGAACCGCUUCUAACGGUCUAUUAAGUUAGACAAUUACCCUUAAGUUUGAUCUCAAAUCAGGUAGGACUACCCGCUGAACUUAAGCAUAUCAAUAGCGGAGGA